AAGUCGAACAGUCGGCUGUGGAUAUAAUAUAAGCGGAGAAGUUAAUGUUGAAUGAAUGAGAUUGAGACAUUGGUGGAGUAAAGAAAGAGUGGCCUUUUUACGGAUAGUAAGAUGGGAAGGCCAAGUGAUAAAUGAUGUUGAGUAGUUAUGACACUCCCAAUUCUCCCAUACCGACUUUAUUUAUCCACAGAAUUAAGUUCGUUUGUCAAAGAUGCAGCGUGACUUCCUGCCAAUUCUGGCCCACCGCUGAUUAUAAAACCAGCGUCUCCAAUCAACUUGGAUUUGAGGAUUUCAUAUGAUGUCUGAAAUGUUACACUUACUUUAAUUUAUUAUAUGCUAUAAUAGUAUUUGUGUGUC